GAAUAUUGGCCAAUGGGGGGAACCCUGAUCCAGCCAUGCCGCGUGUGUGAAGAAGGCCUUUUGGUUGUAAAGCACUUUAAGCGAGGAGGAGGCUACCUGGAUUACUACUUUAGGAGAGGGGACGUUACUCGCAGCAUAAGCACCGGCUAACUCUGUGCCAGCAGCCGCGGUAAUACAGAGGGUGCGAGCGUUAAUCGGAUUUACUGGGCGGAAAGCGUGCGUAGGCGGCUAAUUAAGUCAAAUGUGAAAUCCCCGAGCUUAACGUGGGAAUUGCAUUCGAUACUGGUUGGCUAGAGUAUGGGAGAAGAUGGUAGAAUUCCAGGUGUAGCGGUGAAAUGCGUAGAGAUCUGGAGGAAUACCGAUGGCGAAGGCAGCCAUCUGGCCUAAUACUGACGCUGAGGUACGAAAGCAUGGGGAGCAAACAG
rnacentral:rRNA from 1 species